UAUUAGCUAUUUUUACCAAAAGAAGGGAAAUUUGAAUGUUAUACAGACUUCCUAAAGGACACACUGAAAGGCUGAGAAAUAGCACACAUUUUUUCUCAGUAUCUCCAUGAUAAACUCCAGUCUAGUCAAAGGAGCAGAGAAGGGAAUACUUAUAGCCAGGCAUGUAUUGGACUUACAGUACAUGUAAAAUAGGACUUGUCAUACCAAUAGGAAUUUCAAGCAACUUGAAAUGCUGGAAAGAACAGAAGCCAUGAAGAACACCCCCAGGGCAGUAGGACUUUGCGGAAGCCACAAGGCUGUCUCUUCGUCUCGAGAGUUUAUUCUAGGUUUACAUGUUUGUCUUUAUCCUGACGCUUCUUUCAUCAUUUAUUCUAUCUUAUCACUGUGAAUAAUUUCCAACUAAUAAGUUGUUCUGGAUUUUACUCCAGGAAGAGGAGACAUGAUAAACCUGAUCCAAAGCCACGGAAGUUAAAUGGAAAACCCAGCAUUAUGACCAAUUAGAAAUAUCCAUUUAACUUUGUUACGAUUUUUGCAAAGCUGCAAAUUGAUCCCAAAUCAUUCUCUUGGACAUUUUUGAUACUCCAUGUAAAGGAAUUGAAUCGUGCUGUCUAACUGCUGUUGGUUUACUAAGUGACAAGGCAUUGUUUCUCUGAUAUGUAUUCUGAUAGAAUAAAGCUGUUAAAACAUUUUACAAAUAUUUCGCUGAAUUUUAUACUUAAUUUCAGCAAACAUUAAUGCCAGUGAAGCUUGAUUGCCGCAGCGUCUGCAGAAAUGAACCCAAAAGAAGUGUGAAUGUUUCUGCAACCAACUCAUUUUAAGUCUAGCAUGAAUAAAGUACAGUUAGCUUGUUGUACUAUCAAUCAACUGUAAAUAUUAUGAUAUAUUUUUCCAGUAAGAACUGGCACCCAGCUACAGAUUUACAGCCUCAAGCAACAUCGCUUCUAUUUUGAAAUCAUGGUUAAACACCUUAAACACCUGAACAGUCUUACUCAGAUUGAUAAUUCAACUGACUUCACUUUGAACUCAGAAGGACCGCUCUUCCGAGUGCAGUUUCUCAAGCAUAAGCACUUGCAAGACUUAGCCUUGUAUUUGCUGUUCGGAAACAGUUCACUUCCUGAUUUUGCCUUAGAAAUGCUAAAGGAAAACUUAACGAAGAUAACGCAUUUUCAAUCAAAAGAUUAAGAGAAUUGCUUUGGUUUUUCUUUUGACGAGUAGAUGUAUUUUAUAACACAUAUAUAAUUAAUUUUAUAAUGUACCUUAUAUAGAAUACCUAUAGAAGUCUAGAAAAAUAUAGAAUAUACAGACCAUAACAGUUCUGUAAUUGCUAAGAUUAUUGAGCAGAGAAUGACAGAAAUCCUCAAAGCAUUCUUUUUGAAAGGGCCAGGUGAAUACAUGGAACAAAGCACAUGGUUUUGAAUGACACAUUCCUGAUGUGAGGGAAAAGAAAAAUACAUGGAUAUCAGUAACAAAACUGUAUUAAGCUCACUUGUUUCAGGAUCAAGUCCUAAACAGCAGAAGUUUUAUGAAUAAAAGGUGCAAGGGGGGUUUUUUGCUUCCUUUGGGAUGCCUGACAGAGCAGUCAAGAAGAGAAAAGUGGCAGCCAGAACAGAGAAAAAAGUCAAACCAUUUCUCACGUUAGUAAACAGAGUGAUUUCAGAAUGGACAUUACAGAGGAUGAAGGGAGAAAUUGUAUGAUGGACUUACAGAAAGAAAGAAAAACAGUAAAGAGACAUUAAGGACAAUUUCCUUCAGCCUCUGCUAUGAGAAUCUGAGACACGGACCGAUGUUCACAGACAAUUUUCAAAAAUAUUUCAUUAGCACACAUAUAUCCAGCCCUCACCGUCGGAGAAGACAGUGACACCAGCAGUAUGCACACACAUAAAAACACAUCUGUUAGCAAUACACUAAUUAUUUUUCAUAGUGUGUUUCUACUGCUGGACCCUUACUGCCUGCAUUCAGUUGACAUCUCAGCAUGAGAUGCGCAAGCUGAGAGUCAGACCCCCAAAAGGUACCUGUUCGGAAGACACACAUACAGCGGUUACCUUGGCAACAGACACACGUGAAAGCUCUCAGAAGAGCUUUUUUCUCACAUAUUCAUUUUUUCUGCUCAAGAGCGUUGGUUCGUAUAUAUAUAUGUAGGUUCAGGCUACAAACUUUAUCAAUCAGCCUACAGCUGCACAGUUUUAGCUCUGACUUUUGUUCUUUUCUGCAUUCCAGCAGCUUCUGAGGAAUAUUUGCUGAUAAAUGGAGAGACUGGUAUCUGGCAGAGCAUGCUGCUCCACUAGAAAUAUACAAACCGCUGCUACAACUUUACAGAUCAUUUAUAUGAACUUUUGAAGUAGGAAGGUGAAAAUAUAGAAAAAGGAAUACUGUCUUCCUUGUAAGUGUCCUGCAGUUCCCUGGAAGAACCAAAAUCCAACCUCUGAGACUGUCACCUGAUAGUUGUGGAACCAGCUGAAGAAGUUUUUCA